rnacentral:tRNA from 1 species
GGACCUGUAGUAUAUUUUUAGUAUGUUUAAUUGCAGAUUAUGAGGAUGUUGGUCU